UGGUCCACAGCACAGGUUGGAGCCGGACCGGUGUUACCCAAGUGAUGGUCUGCUGCUCCCCUGGUUUGCGGUUCUGACCCGUGAUACCAUCGAUCCCCCAAUACAUCGAAAAAAAGGCGGCGGCAGCUGUAGCGAACGAUUGCGGCGGCGGCCGACAGCGGCGGCAGACGGAUGGCUACUACGAAGGACGGCUGAGGCGGACGAAGAUGCGGCGUGACGGCCUCGCUCGAGGCCUCGAGGUGGAGGCUGCGCUAGCGGCCGAGGCGGCGUGGGAUCUGAGGGAAGCCGUUGCCUGUAUGGCUGGUGGCUCCUUGGACAUGGAUGUGGACUCGCCACCGCAUCUUCCCAUGGAGACCUCUGCUAACAAGAUUUCACUGAGCUUGAAGGAUAGCGAUUUCUAACAAGGCGUGUAUUGUGUUUCUCAUAGGAUUUGACUAGGUUGGAAGCAUAGCGUUUUCAUGCAACUAUGGAAAAAAAGUUAAUGGUUCUGCUGGUCCAAACUCCAUAGGCUACCGCAACUGGCCUCAUUGUUUAUCAAUUUGAUUUUUUUCUUGUUCAAUCCAUGUUAGUGUAUUGCUGCAGCUGUAAAGCGGCUGACCAAGUAUUCCUGCAGAGACAUGGCACUCGAAUAGUCUGAUGUUAUGCUUUCACAUGGCAAGCACAUUUCUGUAGAAAUUAAACUUUUUUUUGUCAAUGAACUCCGAUAUGCUGAU